rnacentral:rRNA from 1 species
CUUUACGGAGAAAGCUUUAUGCACCAUUGGAUGAGCCCGCACUUGAUUAGUUUGUUGGUGGGGUAAUGGCCUACCAAGACUGUGAUCAAUAGCUGAUUUGAGAGGAUGAUCAGCCACAUUGGGACUGAGACACGGCCCAAACUUCUACGGGAGGCAGCAGUGGGGAAUCUUGCACAAUGGAGGAAACUCUGAUGCAGCGAUGCCGCGUGAGUGAAGAAGGCCCUUGGGUUGUAAAGCUCUUUCGUCGGGGAAGAAAAUGACUG